rnacentral:lncRNA from 1 species
UGGUUGGCUAAAAAUGGUGUCUGUUUCUGAGCAUCUAUAUUGUGUUUGAUAAGACAAUAUGUACUUAAUUCUACUGAAUAACUACAAUUUCAAUUUUAUGAAUGUGUUCAGUGUCAUUCAAAUUAUGUAGGUAAAUAUAUUUGAAAAAGUAACAUUUAAUAAUGCUGGCGUUUGUUGAAAUCAAUGACCAUAAAUAACAAAACUAUUUUAUAAAUAAAGUGUGAAAGACCUUUUUUAAAGAUGCAAAUGUUGAAAAUUUUAGGUAGCACCACCAAAGUACUUUGAGAAGAGAAAUAUAAAGAAAUAGAACCUAUGAAAGUCCAGGGAUACUGGAAUCCUGUUUAUAUUGUUUUGUAUAUACUAAAUUUGAUUUUCAGCUCUAAUUAGGAAAAAUAUAUUGUUUUCAGCCAAGUAUGUUAUUACUUUAAGAUUAUUCUAAACAUUGCUACAUAAUUCCCAUGUCUUUUGUACUUAUUAUUCUUGUGCUACUUAAAAUAGACCCUGUUGUUGUAAGUCAAUGCCUUCUGUCACCUGACAAGGCAGGUGGCAAACCAGUGGUAGCUGUGCCUUAGAUACACCCAGUUUUUAUGCUGUAGAUCAUCUCCACGUCACAUGGUUUCAUAAAUAGUAUUUAUGACAUCCUCUCAUGUCAUCUGUUUUGCAUGUUUAUAUUUUUGUACUACUUACUCUGUUUUGCCCAGGACUUUUAUAUUCAUACUCAUAUUCUUUGAUAAGUCAGAGGAAACUUGACUCAAAACUAAUUUUAAAAAUUAAAGAAGGGGAAUUCUCAUCGUGGCUCAGAUCUAACUGGCAUCUAUGAGGAUGCAGGUUUGAUCCCUGGCCUCGCUCAUUGGGUUAAGGAUCUGGCAUUGCUGUGAGCUGUGGUGUAUAGGUUGCAAAUACAGCUCGGAUCUGAUGUUGCUAUGGCUGCGGCCGGCAGCUAUAGCUCGGAUUCAAAUGCUAGCCUGGGAACCUCCAUAUGCUGUGGGUGGGGCCUAAAAUAAAAAGACAAAAAAAACCUUAAAGAAUAGUUAUUGCUCAAUUAAAACUUGUUAAUACCUUUUUCAACAGUUAGAGCUUGUGUGUAUACUACAUUUUUCAUUGUACAAUACUAAAGAUAGGCCCAACUACAUAAUUAAAGGAUUUUGGAACAUUUUAUUAUAUUUUAAGUUUGAAGCUUAGCCUGAUUAGAGAAUGAAAUAAAUAGCUAACUCAGUAUAACUACUAUAAAUAUUACACUUUGGUAUAUGUUAAUUCCUGCAUACAGUAUGGGAUAUGGAAUGAAACUGUAUGGUUAGGGCUAGAGUGACAACUAAGAUCAGUGCAGUAAAGGGAGUAUAGACAUGACAAAUUUAAAAAUACAUUGGAACUGUAUUUGACUAAAUUCUUUGAUUUCUUCGUAAGGAGAUAAUUGUUUGGAUUUGUAGCCAGUACUUCUCUGUCCAUUACUCUUUCAAACAAUUCUUUAAAGCUAAACUGGAUUGUUUUUUUCCUUUGCAUUGCUUUUCAAUAUUGUUAGAAACAUUUCUAUAAUGAGGAGAAAAUUACUUCAGUAAAAUGUUCAUCUUUAGUACAUUUCAUGUAUAGUUCACUUUAAUGAAUAACUAUUUUAACUAUUACUUUCAAAGAUUUCCAGCUCAACAGUAAUUCUGCUUUCCUCAUUAUUGCUAGUAUAUAACUGCAUCAUUGUAAUCAAUAUUUUUUGCUUCACAAUGAUGCAUCUUAAAAAAAAACUCUGUUUUACUUUCAGAGAAGCUGUACCAUUGCUGCAAUAAAUUCCAACCCAAGAAAGCAGUCAUUCACAGGCUAAGAUAGUAUUUCAUCCAUGUUGUAAAUGUCACAUGCCAUAGAAUCUGAGGUCAGGCAUCCUAUGAACACUGAAAUUAUAGUUACAUAACACUUUAAUAUGCAUAUACUGAACUCAGCAAUAUAAAAUAAGCCAUUCUUUUCUUAUAGAGUAGAAAAUAUGAACAAAGAAUUGAACUUUAAUUUGAAUGAUAAAGAAAGAGCAAAAACAAUUUCCACUAUGCCAUUUGUGAAGGCUACAUACAGGUCUUCAGAAGUAUGGAAUAUAUUUGUUAAAUCUGAGAGCAUUGGUUUGGGGAAUUGGGCUCCAGGCCAGAGUUUCCUGUGUGACAUUUCAGGCCUGACCAUAGGCAAUUACACAGGAUCUGCCUUGUGGGCCUCAUGGGGAAAGCUGCCUCUCCUCACUAGACUUGGUGUACAGCCUGCAUAUUAGAGUUUUCAAGAGAGAGUCAAGUUUAAGAACUUGAGGUCCCUCAGGCCAGCCAUGCUCACAUACAUACGAGGUGCCUGCAUUCAGAAGCCUCUUAAUUGAGGCAAUAGGCUGAGGCACUUUUUAGGUAUCUAUGCCAAGAACUUCUUAGUGGGGAACCUCAACUAAGACAAUUUUCUCCACUGGCUCAGUGCUUCUCCACUCUUAGCCUCCCCUUCCCUCCCUCAGGCCUGUCAGAUCCAUAAAAAGACAGGGGCCCUCUGUUUGAGGGUCCUUGGCACUUAGAUGAUGCCCCCUGUCUACAGUGCAUGUCAUUCAAACCCUUGCCUUUGCCAUUCCAUGUAGAGACAUGGAACAUUGGGGAAGUGGAAUCUACUUUUGCCUCUUGUUAUGCAAUUACAGUGAGUCAAUAGGCUUUCUUAUUACCUUCAGUUUGGCUUGCGGUCCUAAAUGACCACUUUGACAUCUGAAAGAUCCACAUAGUUCAUAACUCUUCCCUUUUCAUUUGGUGGUUUUCCUUAAUUUUGUUUUAUAAAACUAGUGAGCAAGUAAGAAUAGACACUUUUGUAUAUUGUGAAUUUUCUAAUGGAGAGAAUAUGCUCCUCUAAGAAUACAGAUAAAUAUACUGGGUAAGGAUACUCCAUAUUUAUAGACAAAGCAAAGAAGAAUGAUACUUCAAUUAGUCUAUUUGAAAAUAAUAGCAUAUAAAAUAGUCUUAAAAACCAUAUUCAUGAUAUCUCAUUAAUGCAGCUAACACAGUAUUUCAUGUGUUCAAAAGUGCUGGGUUUGGGGUUCCAUCCUUGUAUUUUUAAAAUAUGUGGCUUUGUGCAAUAACAAUGUCAUAUUCACACCCCAACAAUUAAUAUAAUGUAAAUGUUGAAUCUUUCCUCUUGACACUUUAGGCAUUAAAUUAAUCUCUUGAGAAAGAAGUUGUUAUUCAAGCUACAUUAGUAAAGAGACCAAAAUUAUGUGCAGGAAAACAAAGUUUCAUUGUCUAACAGAUGCCUAAUUAGGGAGUUGAAUACUUGAAUCAAGUGAGGCAUGGAAAUGGAUUAUAUAGCAUUUACAUGUGGAGCACAUUAUUUAUCAAUAAAAGUAAUAAAUGGUGCUUUAAGGAGAAACUCACCAAAGCUUUGCUGAACUUUGAGCUGUUAAUUUUUCUUCAUUUUUGAUAAUAAAAGUAGCAGAACAUCACUUUACCAUUACCGCUUCUGUUAGGUUAAACAACUGAUUAGUGAUCCCUAAUGAAAAAACUCAAUGACCAUAAAAUUUGAAUCUUGUAAAGUUUUAUUUUCAGAAACACACCAUAGAUUUUGUUAAAUUUAACAAAGAAUUUGUGAAAUAUUGAUGAAAUAAGGCAAGUAUUCAGGUACUAAGUUCCGCAGAUGAAAUGAAUUAGGAAGUAGGAAGGCAGCAUUGGUAGAAAUGAAAUGUUCUGUAGAAAACAACGACAAAAAAACUCAGCUGCUUUGUAUAAUGCAUAUGUCUAAACAAGAAUGGAUUGCUGUAUCCUUUUUCAAAUAUUUUUUUCAAAAAAGGAAAUGUUUUCGCUUCUUUAGGUUUUUACCAUGUAUGUGGCUGGGCUGAAUAUUUUAAUGCUGCUUCUGACUUUUGAACAGAUAGAAUCUUACACUAAAAUUACUUAAUCACAAAUAUUAUAUAUAAAAAUGUGCCUAUGUGAUCUAGCACAAAAUGUUCUGGGAACAGAAGCAGUUGCUCUGCCGUUUAGGGGAUGGUAAGUGAAGUUGAAUCUGCCUUUAGCAGGAGGUCAGGGACUGCUCAUGCUUACAACAAAAUCAUGGCGUAAAGAAAUUUUUGUAGUUUUAGACACAGCCACUACUAUGUAUUAUUAAAUAUAUCAAUUUUCUGAAUAAGAACUUUACCUUGGCUAGCUAAAAUAAAUAGAUAAAUACACAGACAUUUGGAAAACUCAAAUCGCUUCCCUUAAAAUUGAUAGAUACAACUUAUAUUCUAUGCAUCAUUUUAUUUUUCCCUCUUUCCCUCAUUUUUGUCUUUUCCUCAGUUCCUUCCCUUUUAUUUCAGAUUACUAACCUGUUGUCCAGUUGUGUUUAUAUACAACUUCACAAAAAGAGUCCUUCUGUAAAUGUCUGUAGGGCUAGUUAAGGAACAGUGUAUUGACUAUGACGGUAUAACUAUAUUCUAGGAAUAUAUUUAAUUCUUGAUAAAGACAGCUCAACAUAGAGUCUUUGUCUUGACAUCUCAAUUUCAGGAAAUCAUUUGGGCCGUUAAACUUCUCUAUUUCAAGUUGAGUCUCGAGGAAUGCUAAAUAGUACAUAAUUAAAUGCUACUGUUUUGUAUUUGGAGUAGAAUCCAUUGUUUAUGAAGUGGUUAUUAAGAGUCUGAUCAAUUUAAACUGAUAUCCGUCAUCCCUAUCUUUCCUCUCCUUCGGGGAGGUGCCAUCCAGGCUUGUAAAAGCCAGUCUGCUCUGUGAUUUAUUCUUCUUCCCACUCUAUCAUGUUAGAGCAGAAGCAUCUGAUACUUGGACUGGUCCCACAGUCUCUCUUCUGCUACACCGUUAUAGCAAAACAGAAGGGUGAUAGUGCAGAAGUGGCAUCUACCUCAAUUCAGUGCCCAUUGAAGGCUGCUUCUACUGAUUGUCACUGUCUUUCGCUAGUGCUGUCUGGCCAUUGAUGACCUCCAAGUGACAAAUAUAAAAUGCUGGCUCUAUCUUGAAGGGUUCUUGUGCCUCUUUUGAAAGACCCUAAGGUAGUUCUUAGGCAUCGGAGUUCCACUUUUAAGGCAAUUCUGGUAGUACUUGAUUGUAGUAGGACCAGUUCAGCUUCUUUACAAAGACUUUGCGGGUGAUCUGAUCUCAUUGUUUUCGAGGCUCCUUUUAGAACUGAGGCAUGCAAAUCCUCUUUGUCCUCAGGUGUCGAUCCUUGGUGCCAAUUGAAGAACACUCUGAAAACCCUAAUAAAUGUCUUGUUUCAUAAUUGCAGUUUGUAAGCACUCUGAUGUCAUAAAACCCAUGGACUGCGGUGACUUUGUUGAGGUUAUUAGAUGACGUGUGUGUGGUGUUGACUGCAGAUGCACAGAUACUACCAGAGAGCUUCAGUGAUCCAUUUACCUUUCAAGGAAUGCUUUAAAGAAAGUUAGAGGCUUGAAAGAAUUAUUGAGUUAAAGAACUAUAUCUCUUAAAGUGUGCGUGUGCGCACAUGUGCGCAUAUGCACAUAUGUGUGUAGACAGAGACCUGGAGUUAGAGAGCCAAAAAAGUAACAGAGGGAACAAUCAAGGUAGCAGUGUUUCACUAUAUACUUUCCAGUUAGUUUUAGAAUCUGUGUUUGGAGAACAUAAAGUCUAUUUUAAAGUCAAGUGAUAAGGAGUUUUCACUGAAUUAUAGUGCAGUUGAAGAUUUAGCAAUUUCUGAGAUACCACUAAAUGCUUCAAAGAAACUAAAACAGGAAGAAAUGGAUUUUGAGAUGCAUAGAUCUCUUUGUUAAUAUACCUAGAGUAAGAAAUAAAAGGUCUAUUAUGAUGAUAAUUUUCUAUCUUAGUGAAAGUCCUUGUAGGGAAAUCAAUGAAAUGUUUUAAGUUUUGAUCAAAUAAAGUAUGCACAUGAUUUAAAAAUGGAACAUAUUUACUUGAUAUAAAAAGCAACUGUCCCUUCUCAGUUCUUUUUCACAUUCUGUCCUGUUCCUUGCAGGAAAAAAUACUUUGACUUUCUUGGACCUUUUUUUCUGAAACCUAAUUUAAUCUAUAAUGUACCUACUCUGUUAUAGAUAUUUCUUAAUUUUAACCAUUAUCAAUAGAUUUUUACUCUAAAAAAAAUGAGAAUAGAGCUCAAACUUUUUUUUUCUUUUUAUGGGUGCACCUGGGGCCCAUAGUGUGGAAUUGGAGCUGUAGCUGCCAGCCUACACCACAGCCCCAGGAACAUGGGAUCUGAGCUGCACCCAAGCCACAGCUUGCCGCACGAUGGAUCCUUAACCUGCUGAAGAGAGAGGCCAGGGAUCAAACCCUCAACCUUAUGGAUGCUAUGUUGGGUUCUUAAUCUGUUGUGCCACAAUAGGAACUCCUCAAACUUUUUUAUCUUCCCUUCCCUCCUUCAUUCUUUCAAUAUAGUUAUGUCAGUAACUCUCUCUUUAAAACCUUUAUGUAAAUUUACCUGCUACAUAUACUUAGUGCACUUGCACAUCUAUUUCUUAUUCAAUAAAUUAUGCUGAGUAUCAUGGAGGACAUUACUGGCUGCCUAUAUAGCAGAUACUCCCCCCUUUCUUGUUUGGCUUAUGGAACAAUAUUUCCUACUGAUCUCCUUUCCACCCUUGGAUUCUGUUUAAGAUUAUCCCACGUUGGAAUUCCUGUUGUGGCUCAGUGGGUUAAAAACCCGACAUAGUGUCCAUGAGGAUAUGGGUUUGAUCCCUGGCCUAGCUCAGUGGGUUAAAGAUCCAGCGUUGCCCCAAGCUUCUGUGUAGGUCGCAGGUACAGCUAGGAUACCACAUUCCUGUGACUGUGGUGUAGGCUGGCAACUGCAGUUCUGACCUGAGAACUUCCAUAAGCCA